AUUUCUCAAAGAAAAAGAAAUCCCCAAAUUGGAGAAAUGGAAUCCCUAAUUCUUCUCCCCCUUCGUCUCGGCUACAUCGCCGCUCAACUGGGUCGUCGGAGCACCGCCGGCUCCAGCUCCUCGGCGUCACGGAGUCACCGGCGGCUCGUGCCAGCAAGUUCCGCCGUCGCCGCACGGCUGAGGCAGACGCUCUCGGUCCGCUUCGCGGGCCAGCGCCGCCGCCGCCGCCUCGCAGCGCAACCCUCCGUCGGUCACCGCCGCUGUUCCGCGACUAGCCGCCGCCUCUGGUCUCUUCGUCGCUGGUGUCGCGCCGUCGGAGAAGGAGAGGAAGCAUCGCCUCUCUCUUACACCGACUGCCACCGUCGCGACAGUCAACCGCCGGCGCUCUGUUGCCGGCGUCACCGUGCCACUGCCGACUCGUGCCGGCGCCUUCCGUCUCCGUCCAGCUCUCUCUAUCUCUCUCCCGGACAGAAACAACACCUCUUCCAUCUCUCGUCUUCUCCGGCGAAUUCAUACCCGGAGUGGCCCCCUUUUUGCGGUCGAACACCGCUGUUUGUUGCUCGGCUGGACUGCCCUUGCCGCUGCUCCGCCGUCGGGUCGCCGCUGUCUCGCAGUCAGCGCCGCCAUCUCCGACAAAACUCCUAAAGCUAAGUUCUCCAUUCCAUUCUUUCCUAGUGUAGUUAUUUAGCUUAAAUGAACUAAGUCUAUGGCAAUCUGUAAAUUGAGCAUUGGGGACUUCUUUGAACUUGCUGUGACAGAUUUGAUUUCUUUGAUUUGGUGUUUGAAACUUAAGCUUUCACUUACUGGAAUGAGCUUGAUAUUUGGCUAAAGUGUUGAUCCUUUGAUUAUUAAAGUUUGCUACUGUUGUGAGGCUCCUACAGCCAUAAAUCUAUGUUCUUGAGCCUAGCAUGAUGUUCGAAACAAAAGCAGAGGGUGUGCUUGUGUUCUAUUGAUUGAGAUUCUUAAGUUGUGGUGCCUCUAUAUGAUGAUAUGAAAAAAGUAUAUAUGGGAGAAGGGUGGAGGUGUAUUACCUCUUGAAGCUGCGGCUGCUUUGAGAAUUCAGCUCUUAAAACCUCAGCUCUCUUCCUCUCAAACUUGCUAUGUUGCUGGAAAAAUUUGAAGGGGUGUAGGAGAGUGUUCAAAGGUGGCGUGGAGGGGAUUUUAUAGACAAGAGUGUGUACUCGUGAAGCCUUAAUUGAAGCUGUUGUAUUUCUUGUUAUUUCCUGCAGCAAAUCUCUCUUUUUUUUUAUACCUUGCCACUUUUAAUUAAGAAACUUUGGUGUUAUGCCUAUGCCUAGUACCCUUAUAUUUAUGGUCUCUUGUUUGUUUUUGAAGAGGUACAAGGUGGAGUUGCAGAGGCCGUUGGAAAAGGGUGGAGGGCAGACAUUGGCUUACCUUUUGGGAGAAUCUGCAAGUCCUCGGCUGUCAAGCUGCUGUCCGAGACGGGCUCGCUGCCUCGGGCCUUCGUGCUCGCUGCCUCGGGCCUUCGUGCUCGCUGCCUGGCUCAACGGCUGAUCGGAUAUGGUUUUUUUAGCUUUUUGGCCCAUUCAUGAUGACUAUUUGUAAAGUUUCCUAUUUUUUUUUUUUUAACUUCUAUUCAUGUAAGAUGAUCAUAUAAAUUAAAGUAUUAUUCGAGAUGUAUGCAAACACCUUCAUUCGGGGAAAAUCUUGUAUACUUGUAGCA